AGUGCAUGGCUGUUACAUCCUCCUGUGCAACCCCUAAGCCCCCCAGGCUGCACCCAGCAUUGCCACCAACCAGCCCCUCAGCCUGGAGCUGGACCUGGCUGCUCACAUCAGCUUAGCUGGAGCUGCAUGCCCUCAGGAGUGGCUGGAUCUGGAAUGUGCUCAUGCUGAAGACCAGUUCAUCUGCUCUGAACACACAGGUGACACGUGGAGGGAGACCAAUGCUUUGACAGGCAGGCCCUGAGGGUUUGGGAUCACCAUUUUAUUCCAUCUGUAAGCUGGUGCAAUUGCAGUACUGACCUCCUUCUCCCUCUGUCACACACGGCAAAGCAGAUUAGAAGGAGAAAAGAAAAUCCCUUAGUUUUCUUAUUUCUUUCUGCAGGGCAGCUCUGACCUUUGUGGCACACCUGGCCAUGGCUGUGCCUGGGAAGGUUCAUCCUUCCCAGCUGGAGCUGGUCCCAGCACAGAGAACAAAUUGCUCAGCAAGGCUGGACACAGCAACAGCGCAGGUGAGGGGCACUAGCAGAAUUAGCAAGGCUAUAAACGAGGAAAGGGGGGCCUUGGGAAGACCCUGCAGGGAGAGGUCUCUGUGCUCUGAAGGUGACUGGCUGGGGGCUGCACUCAGAGGAAGGUCAGCGAUGGAUGGGGAAUGACAACUGACAUUGCUGUGAGGCCCUCAAUGUGCAUGCCACUUAACUUGAAUAUGGCACUGGAUUCUCAGGACUUGGUUCUCGGAAAUGCCUCUCAAACCCAGCUUGGACAUCUCCCCUUGAUGGGAAAAUCAGCCUGUCAUACCUGACAUGUGUUAAGCUCUGUAGAAUAAAGGAAGACUCUUCCCAGGAGUGAGUGGCUCUUCCAACUCAGGGCUACACUUGCUGCAGCACAUUUAAACGUCUAACAGGCAGCAGGUUACAAAUGCUGCUCAUGAUCUCAGUCUUGCUUCAUCCUUUGCUGGAAGUCUGCAACUGUUACUUUGAAAAUGCUGCUGCAAUGUUUAGAAAGGAGGAGAGUUGUACUCGCUGGGCUCCUUCUAAGCAAUCAUGCUUUGCAAGGCUCGGGUUAAAGGCAUGAGGUUUGGUUGAGCAGAUGGGUGAUGCAGCUGAACUCCCCAGUGAAGAGCUUCACUCCUAAGGACUCUUCUUGCCAUUCUUUCAGGUGAGAGCGAGUUCAGAUGGGAUUGCCCUCUGCUUUUGUCAUUUUCCCUUCUUCACUUGUCUUUGCCUUUUCGAUUGCGCAUCUCACUUUUAUUUGAAUUUCAUUCCUCACUAUUUGUCAUGACACAGGCCAAGAGGAGUUCAAGCUCUGAACUGGACCAGCCAAAAGGCUGUCAGUGGUGCUGGUAUCAAGCAGUGCUUAUCUGUCUCUUGUAUUUGAACAAACUAAGUUUCAGCCUGAAAUAUCGCAGACAUCCAAGUCCCUGAGGCAUGGAAAAGCUGCACUAUGAAUACACUGAUGAUAAUAGUCCUGGCUCUGCGGGUUUUAUUGCAUUUGUUAUUUUCUAACAUUCUGGAAAACAUAGCAUUAAAAUGAACAGGGUAAACACAGACAAAUGGAAGAAGAUGUUGGAGCGGGAUAGGAGACGACUCUUUGUGCUCAAGACUCUGUUGUCCCCUACAUCAGGGUCACUGGAGCAGUCUGACACAUGUUUAGGGUUUUGGGGGUUGGCAGUUGGCAUUGAAUAGUCAUCUUAGGGGCUAUCUCAAGACUGGUGUCUGAGGGCAGAGAUCCAUGUUCUAGGAAUGGCUCUUAAGGGGUAGGAAUAAGGCAAAGAAAUUGCUUUCUGGGCCUUGGCAGAGGUCAGCUUGCUGUGAUUUCUUGAAAUACCAGAUAAAGGAUGUGAAUGCUACUCAGCCCUAAUAGCUG